rnacentral:rRNA from 1 species
AGCUAUUUAGGUAGCGCCUCGUGAAUUCAUCUCCGGGGGUAGAGCACUGUUUCGGCAAGGGGGUCAUCCCGACUUACCAACCCGAUGCAAACUGCGAAUACCGGAGAAUGUUAUCACGGGAGACACACGGCGGGUGCUAACGUCCGUCGUGAAGAGGGAAACAACCCAGACCGCCAGCUAAGGUCCCAAAGUCAUGGUUAAGUGGGAAACGAUGUGGGAAGGCCCAGACAGCCAGGAUGUUGGCUUAGAAGCAGCCAUCAUUUAAAGAAAGCGUAAUAGCUCACUGGUCGAGUCGGCCUGCGCGGAAGAUGUAACGGGGCUAAACCAUGCACCGAAGCUGCGGCAGCGACACUAUGUGUUGUUGGGUAGGGGAGCG